GCCCGGGUGGUGAAAUUGGUAGACACGCGAGACUUAAAAUCUCGUCGCUUUAGGGCGGUGCCGGUUCGAUUCCGGCCCCGGGCACCA
rnacentral:tRNA from 2 species